AAAACAGGUUUAGACAAAGAUUGGAAUGUGUUUUGAUCCUGGUUUAAAGGUUUAAGGUUUUAUUUGGUUGGUUAGGAGCAUCACAGCCCUUUAACUGCAUCAAGUCAGGAUUCUUAACUUUUAACAAAUAAUAACUUUGUAAAGAAAGUUACAAUGCUCAAUUAAAAUAAUCAUCAAAAAAAUCAAUUUAAUCAUGUUUAGCAUUUAAAACAAAACAAAAGAGUGAAACUCAAAAUUAACUUUGCAGAGAAAAUUGUUAUUGCGUUUAAGAUGACAUGGUUAGAAGCACAUGUCCACUUGGGCCCUCAAUACUAAACGGGUAGUGCUGCACUUCCUUCCAGGAAAGGAAAUGAAAAGAAAAAAUCUGUCAGGUUUCAGGAAUUAUUGACUUGGAUUGUGAUUGAUGUCACUUGUCACUGGGCCAUGUUAAAGGCAUCUCCAUUUACCAUCAGCAGCUUUACUGCAGAGAAAAGACAACACAUCUGGACUAAAAACCACUGAAAAGUUCAAGUUCUUUCUUACGGUCACUCCAAUUAAACAUAAUGAAGUGGAAAUACAUGUCUCCUGAUUCAGGGACAAACAUAAUAUAAGGACGGUGCUGAAAUAAUUAAGUUUGAGGCGAAAAUCAACUAUAACAUAAGAAACAUUCAUUAUAAGUGAGAUAUAAAUGCAUGUUUAAAGGGCGGGGCUCAGAAAAUGCAGGGCAUUAUAGGGCUAAGUAAGCAUAAACCCAUCAAGCUGGUUCCUGGGUCAGCAGAAGUCUCCACAAUAUUACCAGAAGUAAACACAAGGCUGGGUCACCUGGGAGAGGGUCUCUUGACACCAGAAAUACCUGGAGAUCCCAGAACACAUCACUUGUGAUAUGUUUUAAUCCUCAAAUAGCACUGUAAAUAAAGACAUUCUGAAUAUGUUGAGAAACUAACCCCUCUCCUAUGCCUAGUUGAGUCAAAUUAAGAGGUCCUCUAAAUUAUUUUUUUUAAAGAUUUGGUUUGCAGCACUAGAUGCCUUUAUUUUGUUUGAAAGUAGGCAGACAGGAAAUGGGGUGAAGAGAGGGGUAAGACAUGCAGCACAGGUCGCUGGGACCAGGACUCGAAACAAGGGAUGGGCAGCGCCAAAGCUUCUCCAUACAUGGGCUGCGCGCUUUACCGCUGCACCAGUGCCUUGCCCCAGCAGCCGUACAACUUCUUGAAUAAAGCUGGUUUACAUUCUGGUUAUUCUCGAUUUAACUAGGCAUUAUUGCCUUCUAGAUGGCUGGAGCGUAUGAUAAUUGGCAGGGUGUAAGGGGUCUCUCAUGGUUUUUUUUCUUGCAUCUCUUGUUGAAUAAAUUCUAUAAGAAGAGUCAGGCCACAGUGACCCAAACCUUUCUUACCACAUCUUCAAUAGGUUUCCUGUCACCUAAAGAAGCCAAAGUCCACUUAGCAAAACAAGAAAACUGGACUACCUAAAAGUGUAACGGCAAUCUGCAGUUCAGAGGCACCCAGGAAACCGCCAGCUGGGCAGUGAUUGCAGCAGCGAUGGCUCUAUGGAGGACAGCUGAUUUGCCUACAAGAAGAGAACACAUUUGAGGUGCAUCACCAGCCUAAUUUAAAAGAUUGGGUCAGCUCCACCCCGCCACUGGUGAGCUGUCAACAGGUGCCACUAAUUUACAAAUGGAAGAUGACAGAAAUGCUGUACCUGUUGGCUGAUCUGAGGUCUCAGAGCUCUCUCGGGGCAACUUCUCCACCAGGAACAUAAGCAGCGAGCGAAUCUCUGGCUCGUUACUGUAUAGAAAAGUCUGGUAACCAAUCUCUCCUUUAUAGCCAAUGUCC